rnacentral:rRNA from 1 species
CCUACGGGCGGCAGCAGUGGGGAAUAUUGGACAAUGGGCGAAAGCCUGAUCCAGCCAUGCCGCGUGUGUGAAGAAGGCCUUCGGGUUGUAAAGCACUUUCAGUGGGGAAGAAAGCCUUGGGGCUAAUACCCUCGAGGAAGGACAUCACCCACAGAAGAAGCACCGGCUAACUCCGUGCCAGCAGCCGCGGUAAUACGGAGGGUGCGAGCGGUAAUCGGAAUUACUGGGCGUAAAGCGCGCGUAGGCGGUCUGAUAAGCCGGUUGGGAAAGCCCCGGGCUCAACCUGGGAACGGCAUCCGGAACUGUCAGGCUAGAGGGAAGGAGAGGAAGGUAGAAUUCCCGGUGUAGCGGUGAAAUGCGUAGAGAUCGGGAGGAAUACCAGUGGCGAAGGCGGCCUUCUGGACUGACACUGACGCUGAGGUGCGAAAGCGUGGGUAGCAAACAGGAUUAGAUACCCCUGUAGUC